rnacentral:rRNA from 1 species
AGCAGCCGCGGUAAUUCCAGCCCUUAUAGCGUAUAUUAAAGUUGUUGCAGUUAAAAAGCUCGUAGUUGAAUUUCGGGGUCAGUAGGUCGGUCGUGCCACUGGUAUGAACUGGUUUUACUGAUUCCUCCCUCUUGAAGAACUGUAAUGCCAUUAAUUUGGUGUUGCAGGGAAUCAGGACUGUUACUUUGAAAAAAUUAGAGUGUUUAAAGCAGGCUUUAGCUUGAAUACAUUAGCAUGGAAUAAUGAAAUAGGACGUUUGAUCCUAUUUUGUUGGUUCCUAGGAUUGACGUAAUGAUUAAUAGGGAUAGUUGGGGGCAUUAUUAUUCWAUUGUCAGAGGUGAAAUUCUUGGAUUUAUUGAAGACUAACUACUGCGAAAGCAUUUGCCAAGGAUGUUUUCAUUAAUCAAGAACGAAAGUUAGGGGAUCGAARACGAUCAGAUACCGUCSUAGUCUUAACCAUAAACUAUGCCKACUAGGGAUCGGAUGAUGUUAAUUUUUUAAUGACUCA